UAAUCAUUACACACAAAAAACUAAGUUACUCAGAUUAGCUAUAAAGUCUGCUUCAGAAAAAGUUAACAAAGGGGGUCCACUUAAACAUCUAUCAAAGCAAAGGAGAUUUUUUCCAGCAUUGGAUGAGUGUAUAUGUAUCUGGUGCAUGCUUGUUCCACUGCAAAAAUAACCAAAGAGAAUCAAUUUAAGAGGACUUAACAUAAUAUACAAAUAAUCUCUGACUGUAAAGGAUAAAGACAGCAUAGCUGAAAUUUUUACAAAAAGAAUGAAGUUUCAUAAUGUGCUAGUACCAAACCUGCCAAUGAUAAGUCAUCAAGCCAAUCAGCCAUCAUUGUGUUUAGGAUAUUCAGUUAUUGAACACAGUUCAAAGUUCUAUCAAUGAAUAUAGGACCUAGAAGCUGCUCAUCCAAAUUACAACCAGACAUUUAAGAUAAGAUAUAUCAAUACUUAUUGUUAUGUAUAUCAUGUGUAUUAUGGAGCAUGCUUUGCCUAAUGGUGCACAUUGUAAUGGCUAUACACUGAGAAGUGCCUUUUAUUCCAUAAAAUGUGCUGAAGGAGUUGUAGGUUAUCAAGUUGUAACUUUAACAUCAUAUUACACCACUCAAAUUGCUGUGUAGCAUUCUCUCAUGUUGUGCUGGUUGCAGAUAGCAGCAGAAUGGAUGCAUGUCAUAGCAAUGUAAUAUCUAGUUUGUGUCCACUGCAAUCCACCACCUAACCUAACCUAAUCAAUGCUGGAAAGAUAUUUUGUCUCUGGCUAGAUGUUUAAGUGGAUACUCUGUAUAUGAUAUUUUUUAUAUUUUAAAUAAACAAUAAUCAAAUAUUAUAUAAUAAUAUAACUACUUUCAGAUUUGUAGGUUUGGAUC